rnacentral:tRNA from 1 species
GGCCCGUUGGUCAAGCGGUUAAGACACCGCCCUUUCACGGCGGUAACAUGGGUUCGAGUCCCGUACGGGUCA